rnacentral:rRNA from 1 species
GACAGAGGGUGCAAACGUUGUUCGGAAUUACUGGGCGUAAAGCGCGUGUAGGCGGCUAAGUAAGUCGGGCGUGAAAUCCCACGGCUCAACCGUGGAAGUGCACUCGAAACUGCAUAGCUAGAGUCCUGGAGAGGAAGGUGGAAUGCUUGGUGUAGAGGUGAAAUUCGUAGAUAUCAAGCGGAACACCGGUGGCGAAGGCAAUCCCCUGGGCCUGCACUGACGCUCAUGCACGAAAGCGUGGGGAGCAAACAGG